UCCCCUAUAGCUCAGUUGGUAGAGCGAGCGGCUGUUAACCGCUAGGUCAUUGGUUCGAGCCCAAGCGGGGGAG
rnacentral:tRNA from 1 species